UCAAAGUUUUAGGCUUCUUUCAAAAUUUUGCCAUGGCUUCCCGUAAAAUUUAUUCAAAAUUUUUAUUUAAACAACUGCCAGAUAUAGAUAAACAUAUUACUAAGGACAAUAUUGUAAGCACCCCAAUUUUUAUGGAACCCAUCCCAAUACCUGUCGAAAAAGGAGCUACGCCCAUCAAAACUACGAUUGUUAGUAAAGUAAAAAAAUUAUUUUAUGGUAACGAUUCGUAAAAUAUUAACAAGGUAGUGACGUCCCUGUUUGUGAGUGCUUCUAGAAUAUGCAUGUCUAUGGUCGAGUUAAUCUAAACUAAUAUGAAAAUAACAUGUAGAAGAAUAAUCAAUUGCAGCAGAAGAGGUACUGCACGAUCAUAGGAAAGUCAAAAACGAUAUUGCAUGGUGUUUGAAUGGUUAUUUACUUUCUGGAGUACAAGAUAUAGAUCUAGGAAUUUGAUGUUCACAUAUUAAAUAUAAUAGAUAAUUAAAGCUCUUCACAGCAGUUUCUAGAAGCCAGAUAUCAGCGAAGGAUGAAGAAAUUUUAAUCAUUCUUAAAUCCUGAUUUGAACUAACUAUUGAACAGGCAUGUUCAAUAGGCAUGCAUGGAAAUAAUAAGUAUUUAACUAUUCGUUCUGUUCUUACAUGAACGACUUAUGUUUUUGACCAUUUCUAUGUACUCGACUCGAUGUUGCUACUCACAUAAAUCAGCUUUCCAGAGACGUCAUUUAGAUUUGAAGAAAUCGUGGUCUAUUUCGUUGAUAGUAGAGCCAUCAGUAGUGAUCCACGUUACAUUGGAAUGCCUACACUUGUAGGCUAUGCAGUUUUCCUUUUAUUUGGCUUGAAUAAUGAAAAACUACCGCUAUUUUGAACUUUCAAAGUCUAUGUACGCUCGUGUACUGUAACUAGAACUACAUCCUGUGUGUUAUUUCAAGCCUGGAGCAGUUUUCCCGUUCAAGGACUGUUUUCCGUUGCAUGUAUUCAAUUUUCUUUAUAUAUCGCUAUUGGACCAUUCUGCUCUAUUAAUUGCAAUGUUGUUGGUUUCAGUUACGCUUAAACUCGUACAUGGAUCGGCAUCUCUAAAACCGUUAUGGCAACUGUUGUUGGUGAUGUAGAAAGAUUUCUCGACAUUUUAAAAUUUUUUCCUAGGAGUAAUAUGUUUCCUCUGCUGUUUUUUUUAAUAUAUGCCGAACGAUUGAAUAUAUUCUAUGGCUGAAGGAAUAUAAAAGACUUAGAGAUAUUGUCUUUUUUAAGUUAAAAAAAAUUUAAUAUUCAUGUUAAGCAGUAAAUGAGUAUAAUAUGUAUGUUGUUUAAAUGUCCACAUAUACAUAUCUUUUAAUAAAUUUUGGCUUCUAAUG